UGGAAAACUCUUCCAUAUGUCUAAUUUUAGGGGGUGGGGGAAUUAUGAUUUAAACGGGGAUGCGCAGUGUUACACUUAGAGUUGUGAUGCGCUUUGACUUUUGAAAAGUGAAGACGUUGAAGACCGACUUUGAAAGAUAUUCUGUGGAUAUUACGGAGUUAACAGAAGACUGAGAUGGAGGAACAUGAAGAACAGGGCGGCAGUCGUCAGGUGUAGGCAAAUUAUUUAUAGACAGGACAGAGGACGCAGCUCAGAUGAAUCUCCGGAAAGAACUGAAUAUCGCAGAGAAUGUGGAACUGCACGAAGGUUUUUAACGACGCCUCGCUUCGAUGUCCCGACAUAAACUUGCUGCUGUGGCACGGAAGCAGUGUGGUGUGUAGGUCUUAAUGCACUUUGACGACUUAUCGGCCAUACAUCCUGUGAAUGACCUUUUUGCUAAAGCCUAAUGUCAUCGUCUAGCAGUAGGUACAAUUCCGCAUCACCGAUGACCAGGGUGAAGUUGUAGCAGACGAAAUUUUAGACAUACAUUAGGCCUAGUAGGCUAGUAACUAAAGACAUUGUUUACAGUUAUGCUUUUAUCAAUUAUUGAUGAAAGUCCACUGCUUGGAAUACAAAUAAAACCGUAAAUACAUU